CCUACGGGUGGCAGCAGUGAGGAAUAUUGGUCAAUGGCCGCAAGCCUGAACCAGCCAAGCCGCGUGAAGGACGAAGGUACUAUGCAUUGUAAACCUCUUUUGUCAGGGGACAAAAUACGCCACGUGUGCCUGUCCGAGAUUACCCGAAGAAAAAGCAUCGUCUAACUCCGUGCCAGCAGCCGCGGUAAUACGGAGGAUGCGAGCGUUAUCCGGAUUUAUUGGGUUUAAAGGGUGCGGAGGCGGAAGGUUAAGUCAGCGGUAAAAGUCCGGGGCUCAACCCCGGCGAGCCGUUGAAACUGGCAGUCUCGAGUUGGAGAGAAGUAUGCGGAAUGCGCGGUGUAGCGGUGAAAUGCAUAGAUAUCGCGCAGAACUCCGAUUGCGAAGGCAGCAUGCCGGCGCCACACUGACGCUGAGGCACGAAAGCGUGGGUAUCGAACAGGAUUAGAUACCCGGGUAGUC
rnacentral:rRNA from 1 species